GUGAGCGGGAGGCCAGGGCACGGCAGGGGGAGCUGCAGGGCUGUCGGAGGGACCCCAGCGUCUGAGCCGUGUCCUCUCACAG
rnacentral:pre_miRNA from 2 species